rnacentral:misc_RNA from 1 species
GUAGGUGAACCUGCGGAAGGAUCAUUACUGAGAUAGGGUCCUUCGGGGCCCGACCUCCAACCCUUUGUUUACCUUACCACUGUUGCUUCGGCGGGUCGUUGAUUUCUCCCUUUACGGGGAGGCUUCGCCGUCGGCCCUCGCGCUUUCGAGUGCCCGCCAUGAGGCCAACCAUUAAACUCUUUGUAAACCCAGUCUUCUGAGAGUAAAUUAAAUACUUCAAAACUUUCAACAACGGAUUUCUUGGUUCCG